AUGUAUUGAGUGUGUGUGGGUGUGUUUGUAUUGAGCUCUGGGUGUGUUUUGGGGCAUUUUGAGGAGUUACAUGGUGUUUUGAGUGUGUUUUGGGAUAAAAUUGAGUGUUUUUACUGAAACUGAGGUUCCCCACGAAUAGACCUGUCUCUGAUAAAAUGCUUUGGUUCGCAGUGACAUCUCAGACAGCUUAGACGAUGGAAUGCUGUCAGCGAGCAGCAUGGAAGACGCAGAGAGAGUGGUGGUCAGGUGGUGGUGGAGACAGGGAGAGUAUGUGGCCUGGAGAUUAACAAACAGAACACCAAUAAUCUUGUGACCUCCAUGCACCCUUCCUAAUGUCAAUAAAGUUGUCUUAUCAUGCCCAAAA